rnacentral:lncRNA from 1 species
UUUGGAUAUGCCAACGAGAGCACAUGAACUGCGUUCGGAUUUUCCAUAGCAAUCAUAUACAAAUGUAAAUUGUUUUCGGCUUAAAAUAACUAAGUUGUAACACUGCUAUUUUAUAUUUGGACUUUUUAAAAUGAAUUUGGACUUACCAAUAUGUUUAUAUUCAUUGUAUUGAACUGCCGACUUGUGUGUGAAUAAAGAGCUAGUACCCCGCAUUGUGAAUCGUUCCCAAAGACGAAAUCCUACUCGAAGCCGUUCUGGCAAUGUUUAUAAGGAAGAUUCAAAAUCUUUAUUCAUAC